AGGGCACUCAAGGAAGGCAUGUUCAGACCCUGUUCUCCGAUAGUAGACUGAGAGGAUAGAAAGAGAGAGGGGGGGAGUUGUUCCCUUUUGUGCAGAGGACUAGUGAUGGAUUGACUUUUCCAAUAUUUACUGUGCUCAGCAGCUCUUAAUCCAGCCCAGGUGAACCAUGGGCCUUCCCCUCACCACAGCCCAGCAAGCCAUGAGUGUCCAUUUAAUCACCAGCACAGAAAUUAGAUCCAACAGCCACUGCUCUAAAGACCUUUAAAUAUGCAGUGUACUGUAGAAGAGAAGAACCAGGGAGAUACAACAAUGCAAAACAUCAACAAACAACAGCAACAAGGACAACAACAACAUAUAAUAGCAUAAAAAAACAGGUACUUUUCCCUCUGCAUACCAUAGCUGCUUUAUACUGUAAGCUCAGGGAGAAAGGUUAGGAACCAAAGUUUUUAAAGAGAGUAUACCACUAAAUGUUUAAUUUGGGUCAAACUCAGUAAGAACAGACACUAUCCAUGUGGCCUAUUUAACCCUUUUAGUAGCCGCAGCAAAUACUUACGGCUGAGCAUAAAAUACUCUUCUGAUGAGACAGCGUUUGGGAGUGUUACUAAUCCACACGUGGUUGAAAUUAGGUUGCAGGGCUACGUCAGCAAAGCCUAUUGCAUAUUUCAAUUCUUAAAGCGGGUGUGAAGGUGAAGCGCUGUCAGACGUACUUUUGCAAAUAGCGUGCAAGUGAAACUAAUCUUGCCAAAAUAGAUUAGGCACUGUGAGUGAACAUGGCCCAAUUUACCAUCUGCUUGCCCGCAAGUGUAGAGAUGUUGGUGGACCAGAGAAACAAAAAUGACAAUAAAGCAGACAUACUUCGGGAAUCCAAAUUGCCCUUAAACUGGGAACACAGUGGGAACACAGAUUGGGAUCUGGACCAGUGACUGUUGUGACUCCAAUUAUAUAUAAUGCUUCUUCUAAUGAACUCAUUACCACCAUAGUGACAGCUAGGACUGCUCUGUUUAUGUUAUGACAUAAUGUGUAAUAAUAACUAAAUGCUUUUGGCCACUGUCACAAUUAUGCAUUUUAAAUACUAAGAUGACAUAACAGUGUCAUAACAACUUUGUGUCAAUAGCAGAGCUGGUCCUAGAUGGCCCUAUACAGGCCCUCUGGGAUCUAGUUGCACAACGCUUCCUGGUUCACUCUCAUUUACGUUGGACAAUGAGAAGGUUGUCCUUGCAGACAGGGUUAGGGUCGUGGUCGAGGCUAGGGUUAAGCUUGAACCAGGAUGUGGACAUGAAGCUAGGGUUAGGGUUGUGGUUGAGGCUAAGUUUAGGCUUGAACCAGGAUGGGGACAUUAAGCUAAGGUUAGGGUUUAGUGUUAGAGUUGAAUCAGGAAGUGGACAUGAAGCUAAGAUUGUGGUUGAGACUAGGUGUAACAUGCUGGAUAUGAACCCAGGUGUCUCACAGGUGCGACCAACGUUUUAGACCAUUAGACCAAUAGAAAAUUCCCUCUUGGGCUUAGGGCUGACACUGGUUUUGAAGUUUGCAUGCGGGGCUACCUCAUCAUGUGACCAUGACCUCUACAUAAGGUUAAGCUUGAACUGGGAUGUGGACAUGAGGCUCGGGUUAGGGUUGUGGUUGUGGUUGAGGGUUAGGGUUGCACCGGGAUGUGGACAUGAGGCUAGGGUUAGGGUUAGGGUUGUGUUUGAGGGUUAGGCUUGAACUGGGAUGUGGACAUGAAGCUAGGGUUAGGGUUAGGGUUGUGGUUGAGGGUUAGGGUUGCACCGGGAUGUGGACAUGAGGCUAGGGUUAGGGUUGUGGUUGAGGGUUAGGGUUGCACCGGGAUGUGGACAUGAGGCUAGGGCUAGGGUUAGGGUUGUGGUUGAGGGUUAGGGUUGCACCGGGAUGUGGACAUGAGGCUAGGGUUAGGGUUAGGGUUGUGGUUGAGGGUUAGGGUUGAACUGGGAUGUGGACAUGAAGCUAGCGAUAUGGUUGUGGUUGUGGUUGAGGGUUAGGUUUGCACCGGGAUGUGGACAUGAGGCUAGGGUUAUGGUUAGGGCUGUGGUUGCACCGGGAUGUGGACAUGAGGCUAGGGUUAUGGUUAGGGCUGUGGUUGCACCGGGAUGUAGACAUGAGGCUAGGGUUAUGGUUAGGGCUGUGGUUGCACUGGGAUGUGGACAUGAGGCUAGGGUUAGGGUUGAGGGUUAGGGUUGAAUUGCGAUGUGGACAUGAAGCUACGGUUAGGGUUGUGGUUGCACCGGGAUGUGGACAUGAAGUUAGGGUUAGGGUUGGGGUUGUGGUUGAGGGUUAGGGUUGCACCGGGAUGUGGACAUGAGGCUAGGGUUAGGGUUGGGGUUGAGGGUUAGGGUUGCACCGAGAUGUGGACAUGAGGCUAGGGCUAGGGUUAGGUUUGGGGUUGUGGUUGAACUGGGAUGUGGACAUGAAGCUAGGGAUAUGGUUGUGGUUGUGGUUGUGGUUGAGGGUUAGGUUUGCACCGGGAUGUAGACAUGAGGCUAGGGUUAUGGUUAGGGCUGUGGUUGCACUGGGAUGUGGACAUGAGGCUAGGGUUAGGGUUAGGGUUGUGGUUGUACCGGGAUGUGGACAUGAGGCUAGGGCUAGGGUUGGGGUUGAGGGUUAGGGUUGCACCGGGAUGUGGACAUGAGGCUAGGGUUAGGGUUGGGGUUGUGGUUGAGGGUUAGGGUUGCACCGGGAUGUGGACAUGAGGCUAGGGUUAGGGUUGGGGUUGUGGUUGAGGGUUAGGGUUGCACCGGGAUGUGGACAUGAGGCUAGGGCUAGGGUUAGGGUUGUGGUUGAGGGUUAGGGUUGCACCGGGAUGUGGACAUGAGGCUAGGGUUAGGGUUGGUAGGAAUAUGAGCAUAGAGAAGGCGACAGUCAAAAUACCUCCAAUGUGCCUGUUAAUUUGACCCUUUAUUACAGCUAAGAGAGAGGGCUUACUUCACAUCAGGCAUGUAGGCUUUCCAUUUUUCAUUUCCCUGUCUCUUCCAUUCGAUGACACAGACUUUGUUUGGGUAAGGCCAACCUGGUAGUUGAUUUAAUAAAACCUGCAAGCCCUACUGGACUGGAUUGUGGUGUGUUCUGGAAGCGAUGGGCUCUGAGCUUCAAUCGCUCCGAGCUUCAAAUCAGCAGGAGGGUGACUAACACAUUACACCACUACGUUCCAAUGAAUACACUAGAAAAGGAAAUUUCCUGAAGAAAAUGUGGUGCUCGUUCCUUUUUAAGUGUAUUCAUGUGGAUAAGUGGUAGAGAUAAGUGGUAGAGGUAGUGGCAGUGAAGGAAAUAGUAUAAGUAGUAAUGGUAGUUAUAUGGUUUUUAUGGUCUACAGUUAUAGUAACCUACUUGGGGGUGGUUUGUAGGUGUAGAGUUAUUAUAGUGGGUUAUAGCUUGUAGUAAUGGUAGUGGUAGUAGUGGGGACUGUGGCAGUAGUGGUGGUGGCGGUAGUAGUAGUAGUAGUAGUAGUAGUAGUAGUGGUAGUUACUGCAAUAGUAGUGGUAUUAGUAGUGACUGUGGUAAAUUAUAGCAAGAAGCUUUAUUGAAACAAUCAACAACAACAACAAAAAUAACUCUGUACUCCCUGGACCAGAGCUCGUUAAUACGUACCAAAACUAGACCAAAUGCUAGCUACACCUUGGACCAGAACUGGACCAGAGCUAGAGCGGACCAAAGCUAGAGCAGACCAGAGCUAGCUAUCUAGCUACUAGCUACACCCUGGACCAGAGCUAGUUAGUGCGGACCAGAGCUAGACCACAGCUUUUGCAGAACAAAGCUAGCUAGCUACUCUCUACACCUUGGACCAGAGCUAGUUAGUACAGACCAGAGCUAGACCAGAGCUAGUGUGAACCAUAACUAGCUAGCUACUAGCUAUGCCCAGGACAAGAGCUAGUGCAGACCAGAGCAUUAGUUGUGGUUAGUAGUUGUGGUCAAUAGUUGUGGUUAGUAGUUGUGUGGUCAGUAGUUGUGGCUAGUAGUUGUGGUCAGUACUUGUGUGGUUGUGGUCAGUAGUUGUGUUGUUCAGUAGUUAUGUGGUUGUGGUCAAUAGUUGUGUGGUCAGUAGUUGUGGUCAGCAGAUGUGUGGUUGUGGUCUUUAGAUGUGGUCAGUAGUUAUGGUCAGUAAUUGUUUUAUUGUGGUCAGUAGUUGUGUGGUCAGUAGUUGUGUAGUUAUGGUCAGUAGUUGUGUGGUUGUGGUCAGUAGUUGUGUGGUUCAGUGGUUAUGUGGUCAGUAGUUGUGGUCAGUACUUGUGUGGUUGUGGUCAGUAGUUGUGUUGUUCAGUAGUUAUGUGGUUGUGGUCAGUAGUUGUGUGGUUGUGGUCAGUAGUUGUGUGGUCAGUAGUUGUGUGGUUGUGGUCAGUAGUUGUGUGGUUGUGGUCAGUAGUUGUGUGGUCAGUAGUUGUGUGGUUGUGGUCAGUAGAUGCGUGGUUGUGGUCAGUAGUUGUGUGGUCAGUAGUUGUGUUGUUCAGUAGUUAAGUGGUUGUGGUCAGUAGUUGUGUGGUUGUGGUCAGUAGUUGUGUGGUCAGUAGUUGUGUGGUUGUGGUCAGUAGUUGUGUGGUCAGUAGUUGUGUGGUUGUGGUCAGUAGUUGUAUGGUCAGUAGUUGUGGUCAGUCGUUGUGUGGUUGUGGUCAGUAGUUGUGUGGUCAGUAGUUGUGUGGUUGUGGUCAGUAGUUGUGUGGUCAGUAGCUGUGGUCAGUAGUUGUGUGGUUGUGGUCAGUAGUUGUGUGGUCAGUAGUUGUGUGGUUGUGGUCUUUAGAUGUGGUCAGUAGUUAUAGUCAGUAAUUGUUUUAUUGUGGUCAGUAGUUGUGUGGUCAGCAGUUGUGUGGUAGUGGUCAGUAGUUGUGGUCAGUAGUUGGGUGGUUGUGGUCAGUAGUUGUAUGGUCAGUAGUUGUGUGGUUGUGGUCAGAAGUUGUUUGGUCUGUAGUUGUAGUUGUGGUCAAUAUUUGUGUGGUUGUGGUCAGUAGUUGUGUGGUUGUGGUCUUUAGAUGUGUUGUUCAGUAGUUAAGUGGUUGUGGUCAGUAGUUGUGUGGUUGUGGUCAGUAGUUGUGUGGUCAGUAGUUGUGGUCGGUAGUUGUGUGGUCAGUAGUUGUGGUCGGUAGUUGUGUGGUCAGUAGCUGUGGUCAGUAGUUGUGUGGUUGUGGUCUUUAGAUGUGGUCAGUAGUUAUAGUCAGUAAUUGUUUUAUUGUGGUCAGUAGUUGUGUGGUCAGCAGUUCUGUGGUAGUGGUCAGUAGUUGUGGUCAGUAGUUGGGUGGUUGUGGUCAGUAGUUGUAUGGUCAGUAGUUGUGUGGUUGUGGUCAGUAGUUGUGGUCAGAAGUUGUUUGGUCUGUAGUUGUAGUUGUGGUCAAUAUUUGUGUGGUUGUAGUCAGUAUUGGCGUGGUCAGUAAGAGACCUUUCUUUUUUUGCUGAGUUUAGUAUGAAAAGUAUGCAUAGUAUUUUCGAGCAACACUACCAGUGCCAGUCUGCAUGUUUUAAAGUUGAAAGUUUAUUUAUUGUAUGAUUGAUAGGAUAGCCUGAACAUGUGUAAGUGUCACGGUUUUUGUCGGUAAUGGAGGACCAAAACGCAGCAGGUAUGUGUAAGCUCAUCUUGACGUUUAUUAACUUCCCAAAAUAACAAAACAAGUGAACGAACGAUAUACAGACAGUCUUGCAAGGCGCAAGGCACAAGGCUAAACACAGAACAAUCUCCCACAAACACACAGACAAACACACCCAACUAAUAUAGGACUUCCAAUCAAAGGCAACACCACACAGCUGCCUUCAAUUGGAAGUCCACCCCAAUUAACUCUACAUAGAAACACACUUACUAGACUACACAUAGAAAUACAUAAACAUAGACCAUAAACCAAAAACCCGGAAAUACUAAAUCAAACACCCUUUUACCAAAACACCACCCCGGACCACAUAAAACAAAUACCCUCUGCCACAUCCUGACCAAACUACAAUA
rnacentral:lncRNA from 1 species